rnacentral:rRNA from 1 species
CAGGGAUUGCCCUAGUAACGGGAGUGAAGCGGCAACAGCUCAAAUUUGAAAUCUGGCGCAAGCCCGAGUUGUAAUUUGUAGAGGAUGCUUCUGGGUAGCGACCGAUCUAAGUUCCUUGGAACAGGACGUCAUAGAGGGUGAGAAUCCCGUAUGUGACCGGCCCGCACCCUUUACGUAGCUCCUUCGACGAGUCGAGUUGUUUGGGAAUGCAGCUCUAAAUGGGAGGUAAAUUUCUUCUAAAGCUAAAUACCGGCCAGAGACCGAUAGCGCACAAGUAGAGUGAUCGAAAGAUGAAAAGUACUUUGGAAAGAGAGUUAAAAAGCACGUGAAAUUGUUGAAAGGGAAGCGCCUGCAACCAGACUUCGCGGCAGUGUUCCGCCGGUCUUCUGACCGGUUCAUUCUCUGUCGCGAGGCCAUCAUCGCCUGGGCCCGCCGGAUAAGACCUUAGGAAUGUAGCUCACCUUCGGGGGAGUGUUAUAGCCUAGGGUGAUGCGGCGAGGCUCGGGCGAGGUCCGCGCUUCGGCAAGGAUGAUGGCGUAAUGGUUGUCGGCGGCCCGUCUUGAAACACGGACCAAGGAGUCUAACAUCUAUGCGAGUGUUCGGGUGUCAAACCCCUACCGUAAUGAAAGUGAACGG